UAGCGUAGGGUCCGAGCGUUGUCCGGAAUUGAUUGGGCGUAAAGAGCUCGUAGGCGGUUUGUCGCGUCUGCUGUGAAAACUCGGGGCUUAACCCUGGGCCUGCAGUGGGUACGGGCAGACUAGAGUGCGGUAGGGGAGACUGGAAUUCCUGGUGUAGCGGUGAAAUGCGCAGAUAUCAGGAGGAACACCGGUGGCGAAGGCGGGUCUCUGGACAGUUCCUGACGCUGAGGCACGAAGGUCAGGGGAGCAAACGGG
rnacentral:rRNA from 1 species